rnacentral:tRNA from 1 species
CGGGACGUAGCGCAGGCCGGUAGCGCACCAGGCUGGGGGUCUGGGGGUCGCAAGUUCGAAUCUUGUCGUCCCGA